rnacentral:rRNA from 1 species
UACGUAGGGUGCAAGCGUUAAUCGGAAUUACUGGGCGUAAAGCGUGCGCAGGCGGUUAUAUAAGUCAGAUGUGAAAUCCCCGGGCUUAACCUGGGAACUGCAUUUGAGACUGUAUGGCUAGAGUGUGUCAGAGGGGGGUAGAAUUCCACGUGUAGCAGUGAAACGCGUAGAUAUGUGGAGGAAUACCGAUGGCGAAGGCAGCCCCCUGGGUUAACACUGACGCUCAUGCACGAAAGCGUGGGGAGCAAACAGG